GACAGAGGGUGCAAACGUUGUUCGGAAUUACUGGGCGUAAAGCGCGUGUAGGCUGCUCGGAAAGUCGGAUGUGAAAGCCCUGGGCUUAACCUAGGAAGUGCAUUCGAAACUUCCGAGCUGGAGUUCUGGAGAGGAAGGCGGAAUUCUCGGUGUAGAGGUGAAAUUCGUAGAUAUCUGGAGGAACACCGGUGGCGAAGGCGGGUCUCUGGGCCGAAACUGACGCUGAGGAGCGAAAGCGUGGGGAGCAAACAGG
rnacentral:rRNA from 1 species